rnacentral:rRNA from 1 species
GUCGAACGGGAAAUAUUAUUGAAACUUCGGUAGAUUUAAUUAAUUUCUAGUGGCGGACGGGUGAGUAACGCGUGGGUAACCUGCCUUAUACUGGGGGAUAACAGCCAGAAAUGGCUGCUAAUACCGCAUAAGCGCACAGGACCGCAUGGUCCGGUGUGAAAAACUCCGGUGGUAUAAGAUGGACCCGCGUUGGAUUAGCUGGUUGGCAGGGCAGCGGCCUACCAAGGCGACGAUCCAUAGCCGGCCUGAGAGGGUGAACGGCCACAUUGGGACUGAGACACGGCCCAGACUUCUACGGGAGGCAGCAGUGGGGAAUAUUGCACAAUGGGGGAAACCCUGAUGCAGCGACGCCGCGUGAAGGAAGAAGUAUCUCGGUAUGUAAACUUCUAUCAGCAGGGAAGAUAAUGACGGUACCUGACUAAGAAGCCCCGGCUAACUACGUGCCAGCAGCCGCGGUAAUACGUAGGGGGCAAGCGUUAUCCGGAUUUACUGGGUGUAAAGGGAGCGUAGACGGCGCAGCAAGUCUGAUGUGAAAGGCAGGGGCUUAACCCCUGGACUGCAUUGGAAACUGUUGAGCUUGAGUGCCGGAGGGGUAAGCGGAAUUCCUAGUGUAGCGGUGAAAUGCGUAGAUAUUAGGAGGACACCAGUGGCGAAGGCGGCUUACUGGACGGU